AUUGAACGCUGGCGGCAGGCCUAACACAUGCAAGUCGAACGAGUGGCGGACGGGUGAGUAAUGUCUGGGAAACUGCCCGAUGGAGGGGGAUAACUACUGGAAACGGUAGCUAAUACCGCAUACCAUCGGAUGUGCCCAGAUGGGAUUAGCUCGUAGGGGGGGUAACGGCUCACCUAGGCGACGAUCCCUAGCUGGUCUGAGAGGAUGACCAGCCACACUGGAACUGAGACACGGGCCAGAGGCCUACGGUAGGCAGCAGUGGGGAAUAGGGCAAAAUGGGCGAAAGCCUGAUGCAGCCAUGCCGCGUGUAUGAAGAAGGCAUUCGGGUUGUAAAGUACUUUAAGCGAGGAGGCGUUACGCGCAGAAGAAGCACCGGCUAACUCCGUGCCAGCAGCCGCGGUAAUAC
rnacentral:rRNA from 1 species